rnacentral:rRNA from 1 species
UACGUAGGGCGCAAGCGUUGUCCGGAAUUAUUGGGCGUAAAGAGCUCGUAGGCGGCCUGUUGCGUCCGCUGUGAAAGCCCGGGGCUUAACCCCGGGUCGGCAGUGGAUACGGGCAGGCUAGAGGUAGGUAGGGGAGAAUGGAAUUCCCGGUGUAGCGGUGAAAUGCGCAGAUAUCGGGAGGAACACCGGUGGCGAAGGCGGUUCUCUGGGCCUUGCCUGACGCUGAGGAGCGAAAGCGUGGGGAGCGAACAGG